CCCAUGCACAUGAUGCUGCCGGGAGGUAGCUCAUGUGGAACCAGCUGCUGCACAGUGACAGUCUGUGUGGCAGAUGAAUUGCUGAAGAUGCUGUGCUGCCUGUCAGACAGGAAGAUGGAAGAAUGAAGGACCUGGUUUGAAUGACUGAAGUGUCGGAGAUCUGACCGUGAAGAUCGCUCAUUUCCUACAAGAGAAGCAAUGAAUUAGAAAAUGGGAAGCAGAGAUAACAUGGAUCAUCAUCAGGAAAUUGCAACAAGCACAGCAUACACAGCAGGUUACAUCUGUUCAUAUGCACCAAUAUCAAGUGAUCAAUGCCUAGCAGGUCUCCUAAAUACCCCCAGCACCUUCAGGACAGGCAGCAUGUUCAAUUAACUAAUUAAAUUCAUG